rnacentral:rRNA from 1 species
ACGAACGCUGGCGGCGUGCCUAAUACAUGCAAGUAGAACGCUGAAGAGAGGAGCUUGCUCUUCUUGGAUGAGUUGCGACCGGGUGAGUAACGCGUAGGUAACCUGCCUUGUAGCGGGGGAUAACUAUUGGAAACGAUAGCUAAUACCGCAUAACAAUAGGUGACACAUGUCAUUUAUUUGAAAGGGGCAAUUGCUCCACUACAAGAUGGACCUGCGUUGUAUUAGCUAGUAGGUGAGGUAACGGCUCACCUAGGCGACGAUACAUAGCCGACCUGAGAGGGUGAUCGGCCACACUGGGACUGAGACACGGCCCAGACUCCUACGGGAGGCAGCAGUAGGGAAUCUUCGGCAAUGGGGGCAACCCUGACCGAGCAACGCCGCGUGAGUGAAGAAGGUUUUCGGAUCGUAAAGCUCUGUUGUAAGUCAAGAACGAGUGUGAGAGUGGAAAGUUCACACUGUGACGGUAGCUUACCAGAAAGGGACGGCUAACUACGUG